UAUGUAGGGUCCGAGCGUUGUCCGGAAUUAUUGGGCGUAAAGGGCUCGUAGGCGGUUUGUCGCGUCGGGAGUGAAAACACGGGGCUUAACCCCGUGCCUGCUUCCGAUACGGGCAGACUAGAGGUAUGCAGGGGAGAACGGAAUUCCUGGUGUAGCGGUGAAAUGCGCAGAUAUCAGGAGGAACACCGAUGGCGAAGGCGGGUCUCUGGGCCGAUACUGACGCUGAGGAGCGAAAGCAUGGGUAGCGAACAGG
rnacentral:rRNA from 1 species